UACGUAGGGUGCAAGCGUUGUCCGGAAUUAUUGGGCGUAAAGAGCUCGUAGGCGGUCUGUCGCGUCGGCUGUGAAAUCUCGGGGCUCAACCCCGAGCCUGCAGUCGAUACUGGCAGACUAGAGUGCUGUAGGGGAGACUGGAAUUCCUGGUGUAGCGGUGAAAUGCGCAGAUAUCAGGAGGAACACCGGUGGCGAAGGCGGGUAUCUGGGCAGCAACUGACGCUGAGGAGCGAAAGCGUGGGGAGCGAACAGG
rnacentral:rRNA from 1 species